rnacentral:rRNA from 1 species
GUGGGGAAUCUUCCACAAUGGACGAAAGUCUGAUGGAGCAACGCCGCGUGAGUGAAGAAGGGUUUCGGCUCGUAAAGCUCUGUUGUCGGGGACGAAUGUGCAGUAUUUGAAUAAAGUAGUGCAAUGACGGUACCUGACGAGGAAGCCACGGCUAACUACGUGCCAGCAGCCGCGAUAAUACGUAGGUGGCAAGCGUUGUCCGGAAUUAUUGGGCGUAAAGGGAGCGCAGGCGGGAAGGUAAGUCGGUCUUAAAAGUGCGGGGCUCAACCCCGUGAUGGGAUCGAAACUAUCUUUCUUGAGUGCAGGAGAGGAAAGUGGAAUUCCUAGUGUAGCGGUGAAAUGCGUAGAUAUUAGGAGGAACACCAGUGGCGAAGGCGACUUUCUGGACUGUAACUGACGCUGAGGCUCGAAAGCCAGGGGAGCGAACGGGAUUAGAUACCCUGGUAGUCC